rnacentral:tRNA from 1 species
CAGAAAAUAGUUUAAUUAAAAUAUUAAUUUUGGAGAUUAAUGAUAAGAAAAUAUCUUUUUUCUGA